rnacentral:rRNA from 1 species
AUUGCACGCUGGCGGCAGGCCUAACACAUGCAAGUCGAGCGAGCGGCGGACGGGUGAGUAAUGUCUGGGAAACUGCCUGCUGGGGGGGGCUAACUACUGGAAACGGUAGCUAAUACCGCAUACCAUCAGAUGUGCCCAGAUGGGAUUAGCUCGUAGGUGGGGUAACGGCUCACCUAGGCGACGAUCCCUAGCUGGUCUGAGAGGAGGACCAGCCACACUGGAACUGAGACACGGUCCAGACUCCUACGGGAGGCAGCAGUGGGGAAUAUUGCACAAUGGGCGCAAGCCUGAUGCAGCCAUGCCGCGUGUGUGAAGAAGGCCUUCGGGUUGUAAAGCACUUUCAGCGGGGAGGCGUUACCCGCAGAAGAAGCACCGGCUAACUCCGUGCCAGCAGCCGCGGUAAUUC